CGAAUCAGGAAGGUUCACAUGGCUGUUGUACUUAAUGAGUAUGGCGGAACUGUGGGGAUUGUAACUCUUGAAGAUGUUGUUGAGGAAAUUGUUGGUGAAAUCUUUGAUGAAAAUGACUCAAAGGAGGAGAUUCAGAAAAAAACUGGUUACAUAGUAAUGCG